rnacentral:lncRNA from 1 species
ACAGAUAAAAUGCGUCAAUCUACAGUUAACCGUGUGUUGCAGCAGAGCAGAAAAGGUACGCGUGGGUAUAAUUUUAGUUGUUUUUCAUUCAUUGAAUGCAAUUGAUAGUAGUUGAUGGAAUAGCUAUUUGGUUGGUGAAAUAUGUACAGGGCAUUGGGUGAAGGAGGAGAUAGAGAUGACAUACACAAACUGUGAUUUCUUGCAAUGAGGGAAUAAGCUUCUGCCAUGCAAAAAAUAGCUAACAAGGUGACAUUGUCAAAUAAUAUUAGUAGAAUGGAUGGAGAAUAACUCAUAGAACUACCCUUUCCAGAACAAUGAAAACACACACUUAUUGAGUGCCUUUUUUUAUUUAUCUUACGCAAUUUUAUAUCUUAAGAACAUUAAUGUCUGCUUCAGACUUCAGUGUGAUUGGCCACUUUAUUUUACAACUGAAAUACCGAGGAGUUAUUAACCAAGUUUGUCAUAGAAGGUGAUUGGGAAAUUCUUUAUCACUCAAAUGGAAUUUUUUCCAAACUAAUUAUUCUCUUUGGAGGGAUGGGCUUGUGAUUUCCUUUCUUCAGAACAGAAGUCUUAUACCAGCUCAUGAAUUUAGCUAUGAACUCUGCAGU